GACGAACGCUGGCGGCGUGCCUAAUACAUGCAAGUUGAGCGCUGAAGGUUGGUACUUGUACCAACUGGAUGAGCAGCGAACGGGUGAGUAACGCGUGGAGAAUCUGCCUUUGAGCGGGGGACAACAUUUGGAAACGAAUGCUAAUACCGCAUAAAAACUUUAAACACAAGUUUUAAGUUUGAAAGAUGCAAUUGCAUCACUCAAAGAUGAUCCCGCGUUGUAUUAGCUAGUUGGUGAGGUAAAAGCUAACCAAGGCGAUGAUACAUAGCCGACCUGAGAGGGUGAUCGGCCACAUUGGGACCUAGACACGGCCCAAACUCCUACGAGAGGCAGCAGUAGGGAAUCUUCGGCAAUGGACGAAAGUCUGACCGAGCAACGCCGCGUGAGUGAAGAAGGUUUUCGGAUCGUAAAACUCUGUUGGUAGAGAAGAACGUUGGUGAGAGUGGAAAGCUCAUCAAGUGACGGUAACUACCCAGAAAGGGACGGCUAACUACGUG
rnacentral:rRNA from 1 species